rnacentral:rRNA from 1 species
ACAGCAGUAGCCGCGGGAAUACGAAGGGGGCUAGCGUUGUUCGGAAUUACUGGGCGUAAAGCGCACGUAGGCGGAUCGAUCAGUCAGGGGUGAAAUCCCAGGGCUCAACCCUGGAACUGCCUUUGAUACUGUCGAUCUGGAGUAUGGAAGAGGUGAGUGGAAUUCCGAGUGUAGAGGUGAAAUUCGUAGAUAUUCGGAAGAACACCAGUGGCGAAGGCGACUGACUGGACAAGUAUUGACGCUGAGGUGCGAAAGCGUGGGGAGCAAACAGGAUUAGAUACCCCCGUAGUCCCUGUCUCUUAUAC